CAUGAAGCUGGAAUCGCUAGUAAUCGUAGAUCAGCAUGCUACGGUGAAUACGUUCCCGGGUCUUGUACACACCGCCCGUCACACCACGAGAGUUUGUAACACCCGAAGCCGGUGGAGUAACCAUUUAUGGAGCUAGCCGUCGAAGGUGGGACAAAUGAUUGGGGUGAAGUCGUAACAAGGUAGCCGUAUCGGAAGGUGCGGCUGGAUCACCUCCUUUCUAAGGA
rnacentral:rRNA from 1 species